CCCACCCCACCCCACCCUCUCGUCCGCUUCCCCCCCGGUCCCGGCCCUCCGCGGGGGAGAAGGGAUGGGCGGAGUACAGCGCAUAAAAGUCACUCCGGAGUCCCCCAACCCGCGCGAGGAGCGAGAUAAGCAACGCGGAGGAAGACCGCUUUUACUCAGGAACUAUCAGCUUCUGGCCACAGAAGAUCCCUCACCCUCACGUGACCUCCCCACCACACGCUGAGAUGGACCCCUCUCUCCGCUGGAAACUGUUCCUGGAAAUAAUGGCCACAGACGCCUGGCUUCUGGCACCCGUAUCCUCUUGGCACCAUUGGAAUCAACAAGUCCUCGACCUAUAGUUACAAGGAACCUUCAUUGAUUUCCAACCUGAAAAAGUCCACAUCUACUCGUCCUUACUGUGGGGAGUCCUAUCAACCCUUUCCCCCCAAUCCUCAAGCCCUCACUCCCUUCUCCACCCCUGUUCAGCAAGAGGCAGUCAGAAAGAAAGCAACGUCCACAACCCCAUAGAGGAGAAAGGGGGGAAUGAAGGGCCCCCACCAGUAAGAUGGCGAACUUCUGGCUUCUCUUCUGGGUCCUCAGUUCCCGACGGCGCCACCUAAAGACCUAUCACCUCUCUCCCCACUCCCACUCCCAGCACCUAGCCAAUAGCCACCAGCCCCGUAGAAGUAACACCACAAUCACCCCAUGCCCCUUCCUAUAUAACCCAGCACCUUUCCCCAAUAAAGCAGAAUUCUCCGGUGAA